GCAAUGUGCAAGCCGCCGAGUACUUUCUAUUUUAUGUAUAUUUGAUAUUUGUUUGCUUUAUGCGAGUAUUUUGAACUUGUACUUGACUUGUCGAAACAAAUACUUAUUAUUUCGAGUAUUUGUCAAAAAUAUGUUACUUGCAAUUUACUUGUCUCACUCAAUUACUUGUUUCUUUCAAGUACUUGUGAAUUAUUUGAAAAUAUUUCUAAGUUUAUAAAAAUUAAUUGCUAGAUGAUAUUCUAUUAGAGAGGGAUAUGAAAGCUGUUUUUGUUUAUUCUACUUGAAACAAACAAGAGAGUUACUCCAAACAUAAUAUUUUUACUUCUUAUAAAGAAGAAAUUAUGACAUGAAA
rnacentral:lncRNA from 1 species